GUGAGGUGGAGGAGGACAUUCCAGGAGAUGUCACCACAGAAAAUCCUUUUGAGGGAAACAUCAUGUUACCACUAAAUUAUAAAGCUAAAGCUGAAGAUGAAGAUAUCCUGCAGAGCUCUUCAGGAGAAAACCUCAUUACCUUUAAUGUACAUCCAGGACAUCUCAGUACAAAUCUGUCAUAUAAUCCACCUGAUCAUGAGGAACCUUCUCUUGACCAGAUUGCUACCCCAAAUACAGGUCAGAAAGAGGGUGAAAAGUGUCAGUGUGGUAAAGAGUUCACUAAAAGCUCAGGUCUUUCUACACACAGAAGAACCCUCACAGGAGAAAAGCCAUUUUCAUGUUUUCUAUGUGGAAAAUGCUUUAUUAAUAAAUCAAAUCUUGUUCGACAUCAGAGAAGUCACACAGGAGAGAAGCCAUUUUCAUGUUUUCUAUGUGGAAAAUGCUUUAUUAAUAAAUCAAAUCUUCUUACGCAUGAGAGAAUUCACAAAGGAGAGAAGCCAUAUUCAUGUUCACAAUGUGGUAAAUGUUUUACACAGAGAUCAAAUCUUGUGAAACACGAGCGAAUCCACACAGGAAAAAAGCCGUAUUCAUGUUCAGAAUGUAAAAAGUGCUUUAUAGAUACAUCAAGUCUUACUAAGCAUACGAGAAUUCACACAGGGGAGAAACCAUAUUCAUGUUCAGAAUGCGGGAAAAGUUUUAUUACUAAAUGCAAACUUAGAGAUCAUCACAGAAUUCACACAGGAGAGAAGCCAUAUUCAUGUUCAGAAUGUGGGAAACGUUAUACAUCUAAAGCAAAACUUAGGAAUCAUCAGAGAAGUCACACAGGAGAGAAGCCAUUGUGAUGUUCUAGAACUGGAAAUGUCUGCACAAAAUCAUAUUUUGAAAAUUAUCAGAGAAUUCACAUACAGAAAACAACAUACUUUGGAAUCUGGGAAAUGCUACUGUGACUGAGAUGCUCGGAGGAAAAGUAUUGUGGAUAUAAGGAAGAGAAGAUGUCCCCAUGAACCUUGCUUCUUAUCACUGUAUUCACACCUCCACCCACACUGCGGGAGACUCCAGAGUGACAUGGGGAGAAGUAACGACUCUCCGUGUAAUUGUUUUAUACCGUAUGUGGACAUAUAAAUGUUUCAUCUUCAUUAUAUAAAAGGAUAAAAGUGAAAGAACUGAGCAAAACCCUAACAGACUGCAAUAAUUUAUUAAAAGAAAAUCCGACAUACCUCUGACAUUUACUUUUGUAGGGAAAAAUAUAUUUCUGACAACCUGAACAACCUGAAAUGACUGGAGAAGCAGGUGCUGCAGAUUUGCCACAAAUGAUUGGAGCAUUCCUGUUUGAUGCAUUUUAGUAGGGUUGUUUCUGCACCAUGGCUGUCGGUGAAUGGGACAGUUGUGGACUGUAAUAAAUCUGCUGUGUGUGAUUAUGUCCUUAGACUGGAGGCACACAUGCAGUUUUUUUUUAAAUGGUACAUAAAAGAAACACUGCUCUGAACGCUCUGCACUUUCAGCUUUCGUUGGCUUUGCAUGUCUGUCUUAGCAUGUGAAGUAUGGAUCCAGAAUGUAUCUGUAGAAAGUAUAUGGGAUCCGAUCUCCACACGCUCGGACAGCUGAGCAAAGCGAUGAACGCUGGAGAUGCAGAGCACCGCUUCUGCCCCUUUUGUGUUUUUAUUUAUUUUUACAAAAGUUUUAGGUACUCUUUUGCUUUUCGUGGGCAUGAUAGGAAUAACCAGACUAAGCUCCAACUGUUGAUACUUGGAGUUAUGGAAAUGGCGAGCUGCACUUUUCUGUUUCUGUAAUUACAAUAGCAAUGAAUGAGAGCUACGCAAAGAGUGUAGCAGAGCUAGAUAUCAGGUCUCUGUAAUGCCCACAUUACCGGAAACAGCGUGGCCUGCUUUAUUUGCGUACCUCUUCCUCACUGGUAUGGGAGAUAUGGGAACACCAGAGCGCAGCCAUCACAGAUAUUCCCAUAACCCCAACCGGCCAGCGCUUACACAGGUUGUUCCCAUCUCUGCCAUGAAAGGCAGAGAUGGGAAUAACCCUUUUAGAGGGAUUUUUUAAAAACAAAAAAACACUCCCAAUGCCCCUGUCCAGUUUCCAGUCCCUGCAGAACCAGAAGGUAGCUGUGUCCCAUGAUUUCUUCAGCCCAUCGCAGGCCUCAGUGGUCACAUCUGAUUUAACGGUACGUCUCAGCAGUAACACAUCAUUCAAGCAGAUAUGACCACUGAGGACUGCGAGUGGCGGCAACAGUCAGAGGAUCAAGCCAAAGUACUGCAGGGAGCGGAAGUUCUGUCACAAAAGCUUAACUGUUUUUCUAGCUGUGUGAAUUCUACUUUCACUUUGUGCCGGUCAUCUAAUAACCCUUAGCUCUAAAUUACUAAGAGGUCCUAAAUACUUAUUUUAGCCACAUUCUUUUCAUUACUAUAAGAACUGAGCUAUAAUGAGUGUUUAUAAAGGCAGGGAUCACAGAUAACGAGCCCCCAGCUAAGUUACCUGACGGAAAGAGUAAAAAUACAGAGCCUGCUGCUAGAGAAUCUCAGGGCUGUUCAGAGAAAGGGACUCCACAUUUUUAAUAAAGACCAAUUGAAAGAAAUGAUUUUAGCUGAAAGUGAAUAUAAUGCAAUCAUUUUAGAAAAAAAUCCUCCAAAAGGUGUACAUGGCCUUUAGCUUUUACAUUACAUAUUUGUCAUUGCUGUUCAUCCCUCUCCUGGGAUUUGUUCCAUGAACUGCAUUAUGAUUCCAGCCUGUUCUAGGAAGACUUUUUCUUAUUUGUACCUCAGACAUAUAGUAGGUUUUGGUUUCAGGUCAUCAGAAAAGCUAUAGGUCUCUAGUCUACUAGUUUAUAAAAAUUCAGAGUUUGACCCAAAUUUGAAUAUAUAGUGAUUUCAUUCAGGAGGAGAGGGAGGGAAGUGCAAUUUUUUAGGCAAUCAGGGCACUUGUGAUCCAGGUAGAAUUGACAUGUACCUGAAUUGCCUGGCCAAUUCGGAUGAGUUGAAAGAUCUUUAGUGUCUACAGAUCUGGAAAGGAAAUUGGCUAAAUGGAUGUCAAUCAUUCCACUGUACAGAAAGCUAUAGGUGGAGAUUUCCAACCGCUGCCCAUUGGGCCAGGCUAGUCUGUGCCCUCAACCUCAUCCUGAUAGAACUGUGAUGGCUAACCUCCGGCACUCCAGCUGUGCUAAAACUAUGACUCCCAACAUGUGCUCUUGCUUGGCUGUUCUCAGAACUUCAUAAAAAUGAAUGGAGCAUGCUGGGAGUCGAAGUUUCACCACAGAUGGAGUGCUGGAGGUUAGCCAUCACUGUGAUAGAAGAAGCCAAGAUGCUGAGGAAGGUGGGUCAGUGUAUAUUUGUCAGACCUACAGGUGGCUUCCUCCAUUAAUGAUGUCUACUACUGCAAAAAGGCAGCAAACUUAAAUCUACUUUGCGGGUGUGCAAGAAGAUAACCCUUGCUAUGCAAAAAAAA